UACGAAGGGGGCUAGCGUUGUUCGGAAUUACUGGGCGUAAAGCGCACGUAGGCGGAUAUUUAAGUCAGGGGUGAAAUCCCGGGGCUCAACCCCGGAACUGCCUUUGACUACUGGGUAUCUCGAGUCCGAGAGAGGUGAGUGGAAUUCCGAGUGUAGAGGUGAAAUGCGCAGAUAUCAGGAAGAACACCCGUGGCGAAGGCGGCUCUCUGGUACGUGACUGACGCUGAGACGCGAAAGCGUGGGGAGCGAACAGG
rnacentral:rRNA from 1 species